ensembl:lncRNA
GUAUAAUGUUGCUAAAAGCAUCCAAAAGUGGUGUUAGUGGUUCAUUCUGUAUCAGAUGACCAAGUGUACACUCGGAGAGGCUGAUGUCAUUGGGCAUGACUGGUGUUGUCAUGUGAAUGGUAAAAAUAAACCCACUUACGCAAGCAUAAUCAAAGUUAUGUGGUAACAGUGAGGAACUAUUAUUUCUAAUAUCUACAUUCCGGGAAGCUCUCAAAUCAUAUAACUUUCUCAGUUUUUCAAUGUUUAAGAAUGCAAACAGUCCAUUGACAAAGAGGAAAAAUCAUUACGAGUUUAUAAUGUUGUUUGACUGUCCUCGUGUGUCGUGCACUGGAAAUGCAGCAGACUGCACUGAACUCUCUUCAACAAAAAUUUAAAUUGUAUGAAAAAUGCAAGGGUCCCUUCCUCAGUUUGCACCAGUCAAGAACAGUAUGACUGCAAAUAAAUAUUUUUGUUUGUUUGUUUUUUAAAUAUUUAUUAUUUAAAAUGACACUGCAUUACAUAAAACAUUUCAGUAAUUCACUAAUAAGUGAGAGUAAAUCAGUAAUAAAAUGAACACGUGGAUUUUAAACAAAUGUUAGAGGAAUGUUUACAAACCUCACGCUGCACGUGACAGGGGUGUUACCUUAGAGGAGCUCGAGCCCUUGUUCUUUCUCUCCCCAUUCAUCUCUCAUUCAAUACUUCCUGUCAAAGGUAAACAAAUGGUGCUCCGCACCCCAAAGUGUAAAAUGAUUCAAAAUGUAAGCCGAAUACGCUUAUUUAAGAGUUCAAAAUGCCCGGACAGAAGAGAACAUAUAAUGUUCGCUUUCCACCCGGACGCAUCAAGAAAAUAAUGCAAAAGGAUACAGAGGUUGGACGAAUCGCUACAGCGGUGCCAAUCAUCAUAUGUAUCCUUUCAAAACACCCAAUGAUGAAUGCUGGUGGAGAGUCAUUCGUAGUCAAGAAUCAUUUGCGAGUUGAUUCUUAUGAAGCGUGUAAAAAUAAUUUACGGGGUUUAGUACAUUUAAAUAAUAAUAAAAAAAAUAAAUAAAAAAAAAGCCCAAUUAAGCACUAUUAAUAUUUUUACCAUUGUAAUCAUUAUACUUAGAAGAGGGGACUCGAGAGUCGACUCAAAGAGUCAUUUUCUCGACUCUGACUCUUCGAUUCUUUUGUUCAAACGACUCCUUAGUUCAUAUAUUUUUAGAACGCUGUGAUUGGCUCAAAUCAGUGAAAGAGCAUCAUAAAAACCAAUCACAUUGCUUUUUUAACCUUAGUUCAUACUCUUCAGACCAAAUAUCAACUUGUAAAAUAAACUAUAUUGUAAUUUAUUUAAAUAUCUGAAU